UGUAAUUUCUAACGUUUAUGCCACAAAAUAUUCGGUUUUAUCCUCUUUCUUUACAUGUAGCAUGUGAAAGAGAAUAACGUAGCCAAUAGAAUAUAAGGUCAAAAGCACCUGAAAAUUGUUUGAAAAAAAGAAGGAAGAGUCAUCCACCUAUACCUUUAUUGACCAUAUACAUAGGUUCCGAGUGUUCUAUUUCAUAUCACCAAAGUAGUAUAGAAUUGUAAUCUCACCUACAACUCUUAAAUUCUAAACAUAUCCCAAACUCAAUCCCUAGACACUAAACCUUAUCUCAAUCCCAUCCAUUUAAACCCUAAACUCGAAUCAGUAAACCCUAAACCCAAAUAUAAACUAUAAACCCAAAUGGAAUAGAACAAAGUAAAUAACAUAAUACAUAUUGGUGAAAUUAUGAAAUGUGUAUGAUUGCAUAGAAGAAGUUAAUGUUGACCCCUACCAUACCCCCUCACCUUCUAAAUACUAAACCAUAAACUUUAAUCAUUAAACACUUAUCCAAAUAUAA
rnacentral:lncRNA from 1 species